rnacentral:rRNA from 1 species
GACGAACGCUGGCGGCGUGCCUAAUACAUGCAAGUCGAACGAACCGCGACUAGGUGCUUGCACUUGGUCAAGGUGAGUGGCGAACGGGUGAGUAACACGUGGGUAACCUACCUCAUAGUGGGGGAUAACAGUCGGAAACGACUGCUAAUACCGCAUAGGACAUAGGAUCACAUGAUCCAGUGAGGAAAGGUGGCGCAAGCUAUCGCUAAGAGAUGGACCCGCGGUGCAUUAGCUAGUUGGUAGGGUAAAGGCCUACCAAGGCGAUGAUGCAUAGCCGACCUGAGAGGGUGAUCGGCCACAUUGGGACUGAGACACGGCCCAAACUCCUACGGGAGGCAGCAGUAGGGAAUCUUCCGCAAUGGACGCAAGUCUGACGGAGCAACGCCGCGUGAGUGAAGAAGGUCUUCGGAUCGUAAAGCUCCGUUGUUAGAGAAGAACAGCGCAUAGAGUAACUGUUAUGCGUGUGACGGUAUCUAACCAGAAAGCCACGGCUAACUACGUG